rnacentral:rRNA from 1 species
GACAUGGGGCAAGUGUUCUUCAAAAUGACUGGGCAUAAAGGGCACGUCGGCGAUGAAUCGAGUUAAAAGUGAAAGUCACCAAAAAGUGGUGGAAUGCUCUCAAAACUAAUUCACUUGAGUGAGACAAAGGAGAGUGGAAUUUUGUAUGUAGGGGUGAAAUCCGUUAAUAUACGAAGGAACACCACAAGAGAAGGCACUCUCUGGGUCCCUACUUACGUUAUGGGUGCAAAAUCAUGGGAAGCGAACAUG